CAGUCGUACCUUCGGGUAAUCAGCCUUUCGGGUGCGAUUAUGUGGAUUGUGAGGAGUUUAAUCACCCUCAUUGUUUUACGUAUUCGUGCUCUUGGGUGUACUUGCCCGUGUGGUAGGUUAACAUCAAUUUUGGUCGCCAUAAAAUGACUGGA
rnacentral:rRNA from 1 species